CUCAGAGAGGUCAUGAUGCAUCAGAUGCUGAGAUAACCUGUCUCCCACUGCUCUCUCUAUCACCUUGGACAUGAAGAAAAGGAGACCAUUCAGGCAUUUCUACAGAUUCCCAAGCAUGAAUGCUCUUAUGUUCAGCUGAGAACAAAAAUGAUGAACAAGCAGAAAAUACAGCAGCAAAGGACAAGGAAGAGAUGGCACACAUUUCAAGAAUAAGAUUAACUUAAAAAUAUUCAGAUUAUUUCUAAGGGAUGUUACAUUUGGGAAUUCACUUUCCCAGUAAAGUACAGAUACUAGUACUUUGCUGGUGGGGGUGGAGUCAAUCCCAUGUGUGAUUUGAACCAACCCUCUCAGAGUGAAACACCUCAUCACAAAACAACAUAGUCAGCAAUUUAACCUGACAAAUGUUAGUCUAGGUCUCGCUUCAGAGAAGUGUAAAUGCAAAAAUUACAAAGUUUUGCAAAGUUAUGAAUGUAAGCAUGUCAAAGCUAUAUGGUUUAAUAAAUAAUAAUUAUUAAA